AUCUCAAACUCCUGACCUCAGGUGAUCCACCCGCCUCUGCCUACCAAAGUGUUGGGAUUAUAGGCGUGAGCCACUGCACCCGGGCCUCCUCUAGCUUAUUGAAUAUGUAUAUUUGGUCACCUUGUUCAUCAUCAAUUCCUGUUCCCCUUGCCCUUCCCGUGAAGUGUGUUUCUGGCUUCUGGCUGGAGGCUACACUUUCCCAGACUGUUAGAAAGGCCACCCUGCAGGCUGCAAGCCUUUAUAUCGAUAAAAAAAAGCUCUCUUUUUCAGAUUUAUGAAACUCAUGAUUCUUCAGUUGACAGACUGGAUGAGAAGGAACUCUCCAGAUAACAGCCCUUUAGAUAUUUGAAGACAAUUUUGAAAGUCAGCCCACAUCUUCUGUCCUUCCUUUCAAAGACUGUGACCAGAAGAUAAUCUGUUUUUCAGAUGCCAAGAUGCUUCUUUCACAUCUUAGGAUCAUGGUGGUUUGUAAACAGAUAAGAAAGUUUGGAGUCACC